rnacentral:rRNA from 1 species
AAUUAUAUUUGAGAGUGGCGAACGGGUGAGUAACACAUUGGCACAUGCCUCGAACUCAGGGAUAACACAUCUAACGGUGUGCUAAUACCGGAUGGUCCCGAAAGGGUAAAGAUUUUUCGGUUCGAGAGUGGCCUGUGGCCUAUCAGCUUGUUGGUGAGGUAAUGGCUUACCAAGGCUAUGACGGGUAGCUGGUCUGAGAGGAUGAUCAGCCACAAUGGGACUGAGACACGGCCCAUACUCCUACGGGAGGCAGCAGUAGGGAAUCUUCCACAAUGGACGAAAGUCUGAUGGAGCAAUACCGCGUGAACGAUGAAGGUCUAACGAUUGUAAAGUUCUUUUCUGAGGGAAGAAUUAUGACGGUACCUCAGGAAUAAGCACCGGCUAACUCCGUGCCGGCAGCCGCGGUAAUACGGAGGGUGCAAGCGUUACCCGGAAUUAUUGGGCGUAAAACGUCCGCAGGCGGUUUAUUAAGUCGAAUGUUAAAGGCUUGGGCCCAACUCAAGUAAUGUGUUCGAAACUAAUAAACUAGAGCAUUUCAGAGGUGCGUGGAAUUCUGUGAGUAGGGGUUAAAUCCGUAGAUACACAGAGGAACACCAAAAGUGAAGACAGCGCACUGGGAAAUUGCUGACGCUCAUGGACGAAAGCGUAGGUAGCGAACAGGAUUAGAUACCCUGGUAGUCUACGCCGUAAACGAUGGAUACUAGGUGUUGGAGGACUCAACCCCUUCAGUGCCGACGCUAACGCAUUAAGUAUCCCGCCUGAGUAGUACGGUCGCAAGAUUAAAACUCAAAGGAAUAGACGGGGACCCACACAAGCGGUGGAGCAUCUUGCUUAAUUCGACUAUAAGCGGGGAACCUCACCUAGGUUUGACAUCUAAAGAAUCUGUCGGAAACGAUAGAGUGCCUUCGGGAACUUUAUGACAGGUGCUGCAUGGUCGUCGUCAGCUCGUGCCUUGAGGUGUUCGGUUAAGUCCGUAAACGAGCGCAACCCAUGUCCUAUGUUGUAUUUUUCAUAGGAGACUGCCGAUUAAAAGUCGGAGGAAGGUAUGGAUGACGUCAGAUCAGCAUGGCCCUUAUACCUAGGGCUGCAAAGAUGCUACAAUGGUUGGUACAACGGGAAGCAAUGUCGUAAGACGGAGCAAAUCCUAAUAAAGCCAAUCUCAGUUCGGAUUGAGGUCUGCAAUCGACCUCAUGAAGUUGGAAUCGCUAGUAACCGCAGAUCAGCCACGCUGCGGUGAAUAUGUUCCUGGGUCUUGUACUCACCGCCCGUCACACUAUGGGAGAUGGGAGCACCCGAAAUA